GUGCUUGCUUUGGCAGCACAUAUUCUAAAAUUGGAAUGAUAGAAAACUAGCAUGGACCCUGCGCAAGGAUGACAUGCAAAUUUGUGAAGUGUUCCUUAUUUAA
rnacentral:snRNA from 1 species